rnacentral:rRNA from 1 species
AACGUAGGACGCAAGCGUUAUCCGGAGUUACUGGGCGUAAAGGGCAGGCAGGCGGACUGCUAAGUUGGGUGUGAAAUCUCCCAGGCUUAACCGGGAGGGCGCAUCUGAGACUGGCAGACUGGAGGGCAGCAGAGGAGCGUGGAAUUCCGGGUGGAGUGGUGAAAUGCGUAGAGAUCCGGAGGAACACCAGAGGCGAAAGCGGCGCUCUGGGCUGCACCUGACGCUGAACUGCGAAAGCCAGGGGAGCGAACGGG